rnacentral:rRNA from 1 species
AGGGUUUGAUCAUGGCUCAGGACGAACGCUGGCGGCGCGCCUAACACAUGCAAGUCGAACGGAGCUUGAAGAGCUUGCUUUUUAAGCUUAGUGGCGAACGGGUGAGUAACGCGUGAGUAACCUGCCCUAGAGUGGGGGACAACAGUUGGAAACGACUGCUAAUACCGCAUAAGCCCACGGGUCCGCAUGGAUCUGCGGGAAAAGGAUUUAUUCGCUUUAGGAUGGACUCGCGUCCAAUUAGCUAGUUGGUGAGGUAACGGCCCACCAAGGCGACGAUUGGUAGCCGGACUGAGAGGUUGAACGGCCACAUUGGGACUGAGACACGGCCCAG